CCUACGGGAGGCUGCAGUGGGGAAUAUUGGGCAAUGGGCGCAAGCCUGACCCAGCAACGCCGCGUGAGCGAUGAAGGUCUUCGGAUUGUAAAGCUCUGUCGCAGGGGACGAAGUAUGACGGUACCCUGUAAGAAAGCCCCGGCUAACUACGUGCCAGCAGCCGCGGUAAUACGUAGGGGGCAAGCGUUAUCCGGAUUUACUGGGUGUAAAGGGAGCGUAGACGGCAGCGCAAGUCUGGAGUGAAAUGCCGGGGCCCAACCCCGGAACUGCUCUGGAAACUGUGAAGCUGGAGUGCAGGAGAGGUAAGCGGAAUUCCUGGUGUAGCGGUGAAAUGCGUAGAUAUCAGGAGGAACACCGGCGGCGAAGGCGGCUUACUGGACUGUAACUGACGUUGAGGCUCGAAGGCGUGGGGAGCAAACAGGAUUAGAUACCCGGGUAGUC
rnacentral:rRNA from 1 species